CCCUAGUAGCGGCGAGCGAAGCGGGAAAAGCUCAAAUUUGUAAUCUGGCGUCUUCGACGUCCGAGUUGUAAUCUCGAGAAGUGUUUUCCGUGAUAGACCGCAUACAAGUCUCUUGGAACAGAGCGUCAUAGUGGUGAGAACCCAGUACACGAUGCGGAUGCCUAUUACUUUGUGAUACACUUUCGAAGAGUCGAGUUGUUUGGGAAUGCAGCUCAAAUUGGGUGGUAAAUUCCAUCUAAAGCUAAAUAUUGGCGAGAGACCGAUAGCGAACAAGUACCGUGAGGGAAAGAUGAAAAGCACUUUGGAAAGAGAGUUAACAGUACGUGAAAUUGUUGGAAGGGAAACACAUGCAGUGAUACUUGCUAUUCGGGGCAACUCGAUUGGCAGGCCCGCAUCAGUUUUUCGGGGCGGAAAAGCAUAGAGAGAAGGUAGCAGUUUCGGCUGUGUUAUAGCUCUUUAUUGGAUUCGCCCUGGGGGACUGAGGAACGCAGCGUGCUUUUUGCAUGAGCUUCGGCUUAUCCACGCUUAGGAUGCGGGUUUAUGGCUGUAUAUGACCCGUCUUGAAACACGGACCAAGGAGUCUAACAUGCUUGCGAGUAUUUGGGUGUCAAACCCGGAUGCGCAAUGAAAGUGAAUGGAGGUGGGAAGCGCAAGCUGCACCAUCGACCGAUCUGGAUUUUUUAAGAUGGAUUUGAGUAAGAGCAAGUAUGUUGGGACCCGAAAGAUGGUGAACUAUGCCUGAAUAGGGCGAAGCCAGAGGAAACUCUGGUGGAGGCUCGUAGCGGUUCUGACGUGCAAAUCGAUCGUCAAAUUUGGGUAUAGGGGCGAAAGACUAAUCGAACCAUCUAGUAGCUGGUUCCUGCCGAAGUUUCCCUCAGGAUAGCAGAAACUCACAUCAGUUCUAUGAGGUAAAGCGAAUGAUUAGAGGCCUUGGGGUUGAAACAACCUUAACCUAUUCUCAAACUAAUAUGUAGGAAGCCCUUGCUACUUAAUUGAUCGAGG
rnacentral:rRNA from 1 species